rnacentral:rRNA from 1 species
UACAGAGGGUGCGAGCGUUAAUCGGAAUUACUGGGCGUAAAGCGUGCGUAGACGGCUAUCUAAGUCGGGUGUGAAAGCCCCGGGCUCAACCUGGGAAUUGCAUUUGAUACUGUCAGACUAGAGUACAGAAGAGGUGACUGGAAUUCCCAGUGUAGCGGUGAAAUGCGUAGAUAUUGGGAGGAACACCAGAUGCGAAGGCGGGUCACUGGGCUGAUACUGACGCUGAAGUGCGAAAGCCAGGGGAGCGAACGGG